UACGAAGGGGGCUAGCGUUGCUCGGAAUCACUGGGCGUAAAGCGCACGUAGGCGGAUUGUUAAGUCAGGGGUGAAAUCCUGGAGCUCAACUCCAGAACUGCCUUUGAUACUGGCGAUCUUGAGUCCGGGAGAGGUGAGUGGAACUGCGAGUGUAGAGGUGAAAUUCGUAGAUAUUCGCAAGAACACCAGUGGCGAAGGCGGCUCACUGGCCCGGUACUGACGCUGAGGUGCGAAACGUGGGACA
rnacentral:rRNA from 1 species